GGUCUCAUAGCUCAGCUGGUAAAGUGUGCGUUGUACAAAAGCGUAGGUGGCGUCCAGGCGUGGGUUCGAAUCCCACCGAGACUA
rnacentral:tRNA from 1 species